rnacentral:misc_RNA from 1 species
AAGUCGUAACAAGGUUUCCAUAGGUGAACCUGUGGAAGGAUCAUUCAUAAUAAAAGUGUUUUAUGGCACUUUUAAAACAAUCCAUAUCCACCUUGUGUGCAAUGUUUUUUUAUUAUUUUAAACUCUUUAUUUUUAAUAUGUUUUGUCUGAAAUAUUUUUACGAAAUACUUAAUUCAAAAAUAUAACUUUCAGCAAUGGAUCUCUUGGCUCUC